AAAGGAGUUGGGAUGAGCGAGCCGCUAGUGGACUGUGAGGGCUACCCCCGCUCCGAUGUCGACCUGUACCAAGUCCGCACCGCCAGGCACAACAUCAUCUGCUUGCAGAAUGAUCACAAGGCGGUGAUGAAGCAGGUGGAGGAAGCUCUGCACCAGCUGCACGCUCGUGACAAGGAGAAGCAGGCCCGGGAUAUGGCCGAGGCCCACAAGGAGGCCAUGAGUCGCAAGCUGAACCAGAGUGAGAGCCAAGACCCUCCUCAGGCCUUUGCCAAAGUGAACAGCAUCAGCCCUGGCUCCCCAGCCAGUAUUGCGGGUCUGCAAGUGGAUGAUGAGAUUGUGGAGUUUGGCUCUGUAAACACUCAGAACUUCCAGUCACUGCAUAACAUUGGCAGUGUGGUACAGCAUAGUGAGGGGGUGAAAGCUCCUGAAUGUGACGGUGAUCCGUAGUGGAGAGAAACACCAGCUUAAACUUGUUCCAACUCGCUGGGCAGGAAAAGGACUGCUGGGCUGCAACAUUAUUCCUCUGCAAAGAUGAUUGUCCCUGGGGAACAUGCCAGGAAAGCAUCUUCCCUGUCCUGGACUUGGGUCUGUGGGGAUUUCCUCAUUCUCUUCUCUCCCUGAAGCAUAAGGAUCUGGACGAGGCUGGAGGCGGUGGGGACGCCUCCCCAUAUGUUCUCUCUGGAUUAAGGCAUUGUUAAAAACCUGGUUUGUGCUUAGCCUCUUUCACAAAUUAGGCCAUGGCCCUAAACGGGAAUUCUCUGGACUGUGGGCAAGUGGGUGGGAGUUAUUCUGGCAGGUGCUGAUGUGACUAUUUUUUUAGGGAUUUUUUUUCCUUCAGAUAAACACAGUUUUACAGUGCUGGUAUGACCAUGUUAUCACCCCAACUGAGUCUCUUAUGAACAUCUCAAACCAAAGCUCAGGUGGGGUCAGAACGUCCUCAUAGAGCAUUGGGCAAACCCAGCAAUUGUGCUGAUGUCAAGAUUUGACCAACAUCUUUCUUUGCACUGAGGCAUCACUGCUAUGGAUAGCGACUUGCUGAAUAGUUCCUACAUCCUCAGCAGCAGGGCCUAAGGCUGCAGGAGCUCUCUGUGGAAACCAGGGAAAGCCAAGGGCUUCCCAGGUUGCCCAGUGUGGUGUCCGCUUCCUCUUCUGGAACCCACCAGAGGGCAGCAAGCUCCCUUUACUUCUGGCAUAAAAAUCCCUACAAAUUCGCUUCUAAUUGGACCUUCUGUAAUUGAACCUCCUAGCCCCGCCCAGAGAUGAGCACUCUUCUGUAAGCUGCUCCAGUGCCCUCAGCAGUGCUGAGGGGAACGAAGUGUUUGUAGAUGUGACCUCUUGAAAAUGCUGAUUCCUUCUUCCUUUUAUUCUCUCUCUUUUAAGAUGGUGAGAUGGGUCUCAGUGAUUCCCACUGAUGCUGUGUCUGAAUUUUUUCCUUUGUUCAGGUAUCACUUUGUUUAUUUCCCCCAGAUCUCACACACCACUUUCUGUUUCCGAGAGGGCCUGGCUCAUUCGCUGAGUAAGUCUGUGUUCCUUGGGACUGGAUUUGCUUGAGUUAGAUACAGAUGCCAGCUUGCCCUGCGGGAGUCAAUACUGCGUGUGCUUCCAGCCAUGGUUCUCACGCUCAACUCUAAAGCCCUCCUGCCUCUUCCCUCAAACUGUGUCUUCUGGCCAUAUAGCCACACGUGCUCUCCUGAAGCCAGACACGCUGUGUUUACCAAUGUUUGCUGUUGAAAUUGUGUGUUCUAAGUCCAAGUGUUUUAUAGUCUCUUUUUAUAAGUCCCAGACUAUAAUAAACGCAGCUUGCACCAUGCA